rnacentral:piRNA from 1 species
UAGAACACUGUCCUUUGGUCCUGAAUGGCUC